UACGAAGGUUGCAAGCGUUACUCGGAAUUACUAGGCGUAAAGGGCAGGUAGGUGGUUUGGUAAGUCUAUUGUGAAAGCUCCCGGCUUAACCGGGAGAGGCCAAUGGAUACUACCAGGCUUGAGUAUAGGAGAGGUUACUGGAAUUCCCGGAGUAGCGGUGAAAUGCGCAGAUAUCGGGAGGAACACCAAUGGCGAAAGCAGGUAACUGGACUAUUACUGACACUCAACUGCGAAAGCUAGGGGAGCAAACAGG
rnacentral:rRNA from 1 species